AUACAGUUGAGAAUUUUUUGUCAAGAGACACAAAAGCCUGGAGAAGGCGAUGGUUGAAUAGGAUGUUCCAGGUGAACCAGGGCUCAAGCUCAAACCCGAAGAGCACCUCUUACCAAAAGUAUAAAACAGGGAAGUCUCAGAAGUUUCUAAUGGAGCAUCCCCUGACUCCCACCAUACUGCUACCCAUGGAGAGAAUUUACGGUUUGGGAUUGCUGGUGCAACGUACAGCGGCUGCACAACAAGGAAUUUCUUCUACAGGAGACAAGAGUUUUCAAACUGUACCAGACUCAAACUUUUAACUCUAAUUACACAAAGCUGAAGAGUGGCUAAAGACAAAACAGGGACUAAUUGAAAGUAAAUUCGGGGGCCAGAUGCGGUGGUUCACGCCUGUAAUCCCAGCACUUUGGGAUGCCGAGGCAGGA